CAGUGCUGGGGUCUCAGCAGGCCGUGCUCAGGGGCAUCUCCAACAUGGCCCGGACUCUGCUCCUCCUCACUCUCCUCUCUCAGGGCAUAGGUGA
rnacentral:pre_miRNA from 1 species